GCCUUUUCCACCUCAGAUCCCCCUGUCCUACCCAUCCUAGCUUUAACUCAGCCAUAAUUGCCUUGCUUAAUCCCAGGAACCUGGCCACUGCUCCUUGGUCCUUGGCAUUAUGACGGGAUUCCCUUGUCACCUCUGACAGUUCCUGGCUGCGGUGUCCGCGGACUGGCUGGGGAGUGAUGACAGGUAGCUAUCAGAGCUCCAGCCUCCAGGCAGCUUUAGGGAUUAAAACGGAGGCCAAAGCAACUCCAGACCUGUUUUUAUAGCCAAAUACUGAGCCUCAGGGGUUGUACACUCAGGGGCUUCCAGGAAAAUGCCAGCCUUACUUUUCUGGGGUGCCUUUUAAUAACCUCCAAGCACUUUGUGGACUGUUUGUCGAGGGACGGUGAAUCAGAAGAAUCACUAUUCUGAUUUCCUUUGUCUCCGAAGAGGAAGUCCCUGACUAGCUAUAUAACUUUGGGCGAGUUACCUCUCACUUCUUUGUGCCCCAGUGUUCUCCUUGGGAAACUGGAUUUAGGUUAGAUGACCUUUUAAGGCUCCUUGUAUGAUAUUUUGUGAUCUGUACAUGGCAGAGUAUAGAUUAGGAGCCAAAUUUUCCAACCUAGUGCUAUGGUUCAGAAUACAUAGCACCCCAAGCGUCUGGCUGGAGCCGAGGAUGGGUCCUCCAGUUUUUGGCACAGAUGUUCCGGAGCCCAGGAAGCAUCCCAUAACCAACCUUCAGCCCCACCGCCACCCCCAGCGUAUUCCAGAGCCGCUUCCAAACCACAGCCUAUCCUCUGCUCCAUUUCACUCUUGUCCUCACAGACUUUCAGCCUCCAUGCUCUGAGACAACUGUGGAAGGGAUGGAAACCCUAUUUUCUUUUCUCCAAGACCAUGGUUGGUCUGCUUCCCUCACUCGGGCUCCUUGACAGUCUUCUAGAAGAGAGAAGGAGGAAAAGAAGCAGUUCCUGAUGUUACAAAUGAACAAGGAUCUCCCAGCCUUAGUCUUUGAGAAAAGAUGGCUGAAAGAGAGGAACUCUCCAAGUCAUUCCGCAAACAAAUGCCCAUUUAAACAUCAUCCUUGUCUUGUGAAGAAAACAGGAAGAAUGUCAUGUACCAUGUGGAUCACCUUCAGUUCAAAGUUGCAGCAAAGUGAAGAAAGAAACUACUGGAAGCCACCCAGCAAUGCACUGUUUAGUCAUCAAUUAGGAGCCCAUGGGAGGAUAAUAGGGAGACUGGGUGGAGGCUCAGUGUGUAAUAAUCUCUUGUCUAAUGUAUGUGUGUCACUGCCAUGUUGUAUGAACAAUAGUGAGGGCUCACAUUUACUUAACACUUGUGUGCGCAAAUCUGGGUUUUUCUUCCUUUCCAGAACUAUGACUCGAUCAUAAAAUCUGUUUUGUUUGCAUGCAUGCCCAAAACAACCCUGUAAGUAGAACAUUGUCAUUAUCUCUGUUUUAGAGAUGAGGAAACAGGCUCAGAGAAGCUCAGAAAUUUGUUCAAGAUCGCACAGCUAGUAAAUGGCAGAAGUAGGAUUGUGAACCCAGGGAAUCUCCAGAGCCUCUGUGUAACCAUGAUGUUAUAUUUUUUUUCCUCUUUAAAAACAAAAUUUAAAACCUUG
rnacentral:lncRNA from 1 species